ACACUUGCCUGGGAGAGAGAUAACCGUGAUCACCAGGGCAUUUUUUCCAGGACGAGGCUUCUCUGUGGCACUCUGCCUGUGCCGCCCCCUAGAUUUUCCCCAAAUGUGGGAAACUCAGAGGCAUGACUGUGGUAGUGGGACACUGCGUUUGCAUUUUUCCCCU
rnacentral:snRNA from 1 species